UACUGAAAGUACUGUAGUCAACAUACUCAGUUUAAGCGCUACCUACGGCAGUGUCGGCGGUUCCCACAGUGUCCCCAGCUGUUUUGUCUUUCCGAUGAGUUUACGUUUGCUGGGUUGCACGAUUUCGCAAGAGAUUCUUUAUCCAAGGAAGCAGCCGAAGAACUGCCGAGGUGUCUCAAAUUAGUUUUAUAUCCGGACGAUGUAAAACCGGAUAAAAAUAUUAAGGACCAGUUAA
rnacentral:lncRNA from 1 species